UGACUCACCAGCCAGGGUGGGAAGGAAAAGGGUGCUGGGCCCAAGGGGUGUGUGUGAGGAGGGGACUGGUCUCAGCACCGCUUUUCCUGCUUCGGAGGUGGCUCUGCCUCUGCAGGAAUCACCUGCGGUGAAUCACAGCUGUGCUCUACAGACCCUGCAGCGCCACGCAGCCACCGGGAGAGCCUGGACUGGGGAGGGGGGACCCCGGUCCUGCUCUCUGGCAGGGGCCCCGCAGGUCCCAGACUCCACAGGCCUCUCCCAGCAGCUCCAUCUUGCUUCCCGCCAGGGGGAGGGGCCGAGAGGAGGGCCCGGAGUCGGGAGAGGCCCCAAUGGGAGGAAGCCGUUUGACAGCAGAUGAGGAAACUGAGGCCCAGAGAGGCUCAGAGGCAUGCUCAAGGUCACAGCGCGCGGGAGUCUGGAUUCGAACCCGUGGCCGUCUGGCUCCAGAGCCCAGGUGCAAAGCCACAGGCUGCGAGUGGGCAAAGGGGAGCCUCCAGGCGGACCGGGAACGUCUCCCGCCCGGUUCCGCUCCCCACCCCAGGCCCAGCGCGCUCACCCGGACGAGGUUGCUGACGGCCGCCUGCACGGCGGCCACGGGCGCGGUGAGGUCAGGGAUGGCUUUGCCGUCCACCUCGCCUUCCUCGUGCAUGAUCACCAGGUGCGAGAUCUGCUGCGCCACUGGCUCCAGGAUGCUCUCAAUCGUGCGCGUGUGAAACACCGGCAUCGCGGCGGUGAGCGGGGCGGCGAACCGCGGGCUACAGAGAACUAACUGGGAACAGCGGGGCCGGAGACCCGCGAACAGACGGACUCUGAGCCGCGACUAGAGUCCGGGCUUCCCUCGGCGUUACCAGCCUCACGGGCGCCCCGCCCCGCCUCGCGUCGUCGCGCCCAAUGGCAGCGCCGCUCAGACCCGGGCUGCCACUCCUAUUGGUCCGACUUCGAGAUGCUCCGCCCCCGGCCCCGCGCCAACGAGAUCCCUCCCAGCCCCGCCCCCAUUCCCAAGGGAGGGGCCUGGGAUCGGGCUGCGCCGCGGGGAUGGCGACUGGAUUCCCAAACCCUAACGCCGGGCGCGCCUUAUAAGGGCAUGGUGGGAGCGGGCGUGCGGCGGGAUCGGUGGCCCCGCCCCCGGGCCGCCUCCGGCCGGGUUCCGCGGAACUCCGCCCCUCUGCGGAGUCACCUCAGGGGGCGGGGCCUCACCUCCCGCUGGCUGCAGUGGGCUGAGACCCGGGAGCCACCGGUCUGUCCGCUCGUCCCCUUCCCAACCUUCCCUUCACAAGAGGCCCUCAAAAUACUCCGCUCCCUCUUAGCAGGACGUGGAAACGUUUUUAGAAAAACAUGCAAACAACAGAAGUGCACAGACUGGAACAUGAGCGUCCCAUUCAUUCACAGACACUCCACCCACUCUCCUCCUCAAAGAUACUAUUAACAGUUUGGUGGGUCGCUUUGUAGACCUUUGUCUAUUUGUGUGAGUGUGUGUGUGUGUGUGUGUGUGUGUGUGUGUGUGUGUACAUAUAUAUUUUCAAAAUAAAUGGGAUUAAACAUUU